GCCUCAUCAAACUCCCAAGAGGCAAGAAUAGCAUUACUAGGAAAAGCGCUAAUUGAAGUGCAAACACGGCAAAGUCUAUCAAACAACCGGAUAAACACACUUGAAGACCAAUGAUAGCGACCUACAAGAAAUUACACAUGUCCGAAAACACAUCCAACGACAGCACACUCACAGACCCCACCAGGUCUUGGACAUACCUGGCUGACACCACAACUAUAC